rnacentral:rRNA from 1 species
GAUGAACGCUGGCGGCGUGCCUAAUAAAUGCAAGUCGAGCGAACGGACGAGAAGCUUGCUUCUCUGAUGUUAGCGGCGGACGGGUGAGUAACACGUGGAUAACCUCCCUAUAAGACGGGGAUAACUUCGGGAAACGGGAGCUAAUACCGGAUAAUAUUUUGAACCGCAUGGUUCAAAAGUGAAAGACGGUCUUGCGGUCACUUAUAGAUGGAUCCGCGCUGCAUUAGCUAGUUGGUAAGGUAACGGCUUACGAAGGCAACGAGGCAUAGCCGACCUGAGAGGGUGAUAGGCCACACUGGAACUGAGACACGGUCCAGACUCCUACGGGAGGCAGCAGUAGGGAAUCUUCCGCAAUGGGCGAAAGCCUGACGGAGCAACGCCGCGUGAGUGAUGAAGGUCUUCGGAUCGUAAAACUCUGUUAUUAGGGAAGAACAUAUGUGUAAGUAACUGUGCACAUCUUGACGGUACCUAAUCAGAAAGCCACGGCUAACUACGUG